rnacentral:lncRNA from 1 species
ACACACCCUUAUGCAUGCAACAAUAAUCUUUUUAUUUCCUUAAGAAAUGGCAGAUCAUUAGGGCACUUCAAUCUAAUAAUUUCUUUCAGUUACCGUAUCAUGAAAACAAAUUAUGAACACUCUUCAAAAAGGAUAAUACCGUAUAUGUUCAUAACUUACUUCAGUGAAUUAAACAAAUCUAAAUUGGUUAUGAUACCAAAGGAUGUGUCCUUCUUCGACAAUGCAUCAUUUUUCAAAAAUACCAUCUUA